AUACGUAGGGGGCAAGCGUUAUCCGGAAUUAUUGGGCGUAAAGAGUAUGUAGGUGGUUUCUUAAGCGCAGGGUAUAAGGCAAUGGCUUAACCAAUGUUCGCCCUGUGAACUGAGAGACUGAGUGCUGGAGAGGAAAGCGGAAUUCCUAGUGUAGCGGUGAAAUGCGUAGAUAUUAGGAGGAACACCAGUGGCGAAGGCGGCUUUCUGGACAGUAACUGACACUGAGAUACGAAAGCGUGGGGAGC
rnacentral:rRNA from 1 species